rnacentral:lncRNA from 1 species
UUUUCCUUGUCGUUGUUAGAAAGAUGCCACCAGCUGCCUCUGUGUGGAGGGCGGUGCAGGGAGGCACUAUCAGGACAGGCCUUUGGGACGCUGCCCCGGCCAUCUGGGCACAGAGGGCAAGAAUAAUCAAGACUCUGCGGCAGAUGAGGACCUGGCUCUGUAAGUGGACAAGACCCCUCAAGGCGGACCUGGGGUUCAAAUAAAGGUCUUCUGACAUCCGCUGCAAUUUAUCAGAAGACUCCCCAACCUUUUCUGGUGAUUUACAAGUCAGAAGGAACCGGUGGGGAGGGAGAAAAAAUCAGAGGAGAAGUGAAGCCUGCACCAUCCCAUUGGUGAGCCAUUCCCAAUUUUCUUCCAUCUUCCCUUUCCAAAAACCAGCCAGCCCACUCACUGGCGUUUUGUUUUUACCGUAUGAUUUCAUUUAUUUUUAAAAGUUUUUUAAAAAAUGUAUGCGUAUGUGUAUUUAUUUAUUUAUUAUUCAUAUGGAAGUAUAGUUACUUUAUAAGAUUGUGGUGUUUUUACAGGAUCUACUCCAUCACAAAUUAUUACAAGAUAAUGGCUCUGCUUCUCUGUGCUGAAUAAUACAUCCUUGUUGUUUCUCCAUUUUAUACAUAGUGAUUUGAAUCUUUUAAUCCCAUAUCCCUAUCUCGCCUCUCCCUCUUUGUCUCUCUCCAGCUUUGAUCCCUUGCUCAUCUUCUGUAUCUGUGAACCUGUUUUGCUCUACACAUUCAUUUAUAUUUUAGAGUCCAUACAUAAGUGAUAUCAUACAGUUUUUGUCUUUCUCUCACUUAUUUCACUAAGCAUACAAUUCUCUAGGUCCACCCACAUUGCUGCAAAUGGCAAUAUUUCAUUUUUUAGGGCUGAGUAAUAUUUCAUUGUGUAUAGAUAGACCACAACUUCUUUGUCCAUUCGUCUUUUGAUGGACACUUGGUUUGCUUCUGUAUCUUGGCUACUGUACAUAGUGCUGCUAUGAACAUUGGGCUGCAGAUAUCUUUUUGAAUUAGAGUUUUCCUUUUCCCAGGUAUAUAUAUCUAGGAACAGAGUUGCUGGAUCAUAUAAUAGUUCUAUUUUCAGUGCUUUGAGGAAUCUUCAUACUGUUUUCCAUAGUGGUUGCCUAAAUUUACAUACUCACCAACAGGUACAAGAGUUCCUUUUUCUCCACAACCUCUCCAACAUUUGCUAUUUGCAGACUUUUUGAUCAUAGCCAUUUUGACUGGGGUGAGGUGAUAUCUCAUUAUUUUGAUUUGAAUGUCUUUAAUAGUUAGCAAAAUUGAGCAUCUUUUCAUGUGCCUAUUAGCCAUCUGUACGUCCUCCUUGGAAAAAUGUUGACUCAGGUCUUCUGCUUAUUUUUUGAUUGGGUUGUUUAAUUUUUUUUUUUUUGGUCUUUUUGCCAUUUCUUGGGCCACUUCCGCAGCAUAUGGAGGUUCCUAGGCUAGGGGUCUAAUCUGACCUGUAACUGCCAGCCUACGCCAGAGCCACAGCAACUCAGGAUCCAAGCCACAUCUGCAAACUAAACCACAGCUCACGGCAACGCUGGACCGUUAACCCACUGAGCAAUGUCAGGGAUCGAACCCACAACCUCAUGGUUCCUAUCAGAUUAAUUAACCACAGCGCCACGAUGGGAACUCCUAAUUUUUUCUUUUGAUAUUGAUUUGUACCUAUUUUGGAUAUUAACCCUUUGUCAGUCAUAUCAUUCACAAAUAUUUUCUCCCAUUCUGUAGGUCGUCCUUAGUUUUGUCCACAGUUUCUUUUUCUGUGCACAAAAUUUUAAGUUUAAUUAGGUCUCAUUUGUUUAUUUUUGCUUUUAUACCUUUUUGCCUUAGGAGAUCGAUCCCCCAAAUAUUGCUACGAUUUAUGUCAAAGGAGUGUUCUGCCUAUGUUCUCUUCUAGGGGUUUUAUGGUUUCAGACCUAACAGUCAGGCCUUUAAUCCACCUACUGUGGAGCUUACUUAUGAACAGAGACAGGAAGUAACAAACACUUUAUUUAUUUAUUCAUCUUUUUAGGGCUGCACCUGCGGCAUAUGGAGAUUCCUAGACUGGGGUCUGAAUCAGAGCUGUAGUUGCUGGCUUAUACCACAGCCACAGCAACUUGGGAUCCGAGCCUUGUCUGCAACCUACACCACAGCUCACAGCAACACUGGAUCCUUAAUCCACUGAGCAAGGCCAGGGAUUGAAACCGCAUCCUCAUGGAUACUAGUCAGGUUCGUUUCUGCUGAGCCACAAUGGGAACUCUAACAAACACUUUAAAAUACGCUUUUAGCUGUUGCAAUUUUCUUUGGUGAGAUGUCAAGCAAGUAAGGAGCGAGACAGUGAACAGUGGAUCAGUGACGGUAUUGCUGAGGAGGCGGCACCUGAGCAGUGACCUGGUCACACCAGUGACCAGUGUAAAGGGCUGGAGAAGGGGAUGACAAGGUGAGAGAACUGUAGGGGUUUAUAGCCAUGAAACGUGGUGAGACAGCCAACGAGUGAGCCCCCUCUCGGAUCUCUGAGCUUGAGGACACGUGUACAUGGAUGGACAUCCCCAACUGCCACUGGGCGGCCUCAUGAUUUGGGGCAAAUUACUUCUCCCUGAAAUUUCUUACUAGUCUUGGAAAUAAGGGAAGAACUUGAAAAAAAAAAUAUUCUGUAUCACUUUGACUAAAAAUCCUGAUUCCAUGCUUGGUUUGCCCUAAUGACUUGAUAAUCCUUUUUCAUUUUCCCCAACCUCUACUUUCCGGUCAGAUUAGAAAACUAUGCUCCCCUUUGGAUUCCGAUCAUGGGCCCCAGCAGUGGUUUCAGAGAUUCCACGUAUAAGAAGCAAGACACGUGGUGCAUUCUAGAUGGAGCAUCCUUAGCACAGAUAGAAAAAUCAUUCUUUGGGAGUUCCCUUCAUAGCUGAGCGGAAAUGAAUCUGACUAGUGUCCAUGAGGAUGUGGGUUUGAUUCCUGGCCUCACUCAAUGGGUUAAGAAUCCGGUGUUGCUGUGAGCUGUGGUGUAGGUUGCAGACACGGCUCGGAUCCCGCGUUGCUGUGGCUGUGAUGUAGGCUGGCAGCUGCAGCUCCCAUUCCACCCCUAGCCUGGGAACUUCCACGUGCCAUGGGUGCGGCCCUAAAAAGCCAAAAAAAAAAAAAAAAAAAAAAAAAAAGAAAAAGAAAAUCAUUCUUCAGAAGGAAAGGCAGAACAUGGUACAGCAAUGGGGAAAACAAUCACAAAAAUUCUCCUAAGGUCAUAAAUGAGUAGUCAUUAUUCUGAAGCAGACAGUUCCCACAGUAGAAUAGCUCUCCUGCCAACCUCAUGUCCAUAUUCAGCUGAAAUACCAUCUUGGGGAAAAAAGCUAACACUUCAAGCCAGAAUGUUUAGGAGAGAAUACCUAUAUUCCAGCCUUUUAAAUAUAUAGAAUGUGGGGUAUAAGAGAUCAGAAGCUCAAAAAAAUGUUCCAGAAAAAAAGUUUCCACCUUUUCCUUUGAAAAGUAAAAAUAAAUUCAUGGGUUAUUCAGUAAUACUUUGUGAU